rnacentral:rRNA from 1 species
GAACGCUGGCGGCGUGCCUAAUACAUGCAAGUCGAGCGAACAGAUGAGAAGCUUGCUUCUCUGAUGUUAGCGGCGGACGGGUGAGUAACACGUGGGUAACCUACCUAUAAGACUGGGAUAACUCCGGGAAACCGGGGCUAAUACCGGAUAAUAUUUUGAACCGCAUGGUUCAAUAGUGAAAGACGGUUUCGGCUGUCACUUAUAGAUGGACCCGCGCCGUAUUAGCUAGUUGGUAAGGUAACGGCUUACCAAGGCGACGAUACGUAGCCGACCUGAGAGGGUGAUCGGCCACACUGGAACUGAGACACGGUCCAGACUCCUACGGGAGGCAGCAGUAGGGAAUCUUCCGCAAUGGGCGAAAGCCUGACGGAGCAACGCCGCGUGAGUGAUGAAGGUCUUCGGAUCGUAAAACUCUGUUGUUAGGGAAGAACAAAUUUGUUAGUAACUGAACAAGUCUUGACGGUACCUAACCAGAAAGCCACGGCUAACUACGUGCCAGCAGCCGCGGUAAUACGUAGGUGGCAAGCGUUAUCCGGAAUUAUUGGGCGUAAAGCGCGCGUAGGCGGUUUCUUAAGUCUGAUGUGAAAGCCCACGGCUCAACCGUGGAGGGUCAUUGGAAACUGGGAAACUUGAGUGCAGAAGAGGAGAGUGGAAUUCCAUGUGUAGCGGUGAAAUGCGCAGAGAUAUGGAGGAACACCAGUGGCGAAGGCGGCUCUCUGGUCUGUAACUGACGCUGAUGUGCGAAAGCGUGGGGAUCAAACAGGAUUAGAUACCCUGGUAGUCCACGCCGUAAACGAUGAGUGCUAAGUGUUAGGGGGUUUCCGCCCCUUUG